GUGCCAGCCGCCGCGGUAAUGCGGAGGGGGCUAGCGUUGUUCGGAAUUACUGGGCGUAAAGCGCACGUAGGCGGACUGGAAAGUUGGGGGUGAAAUCCCGGGGCUCGACCUCGGAACUGCCUUCAAAACUAUCAGUCUGGAGUUCGAGAGAGGUGAGUGGAAUUCCGAGUGUAGAGGUGAAAUUCGUAGAUAUUCGGAGGAACACCAGUGGCGAAGGCGGCUCACUGGCUCGAUACUGACGCUGAGGUGCGAAAGCGGGGGGAGCAAACAGGAUUAGAAACCCGAGUAGUCC
rnacentral:rRNA from 1 species